CCUACGGGUGGCUGCAGUGGGGAAUAUUGGACAAUGGGCGAAAGCCUGAUCCAGCCAUGCCGCGUGUGUGAAGAAGGCCUUCGGGUUGUAAAGCACUUUCAGUGGGGAAGAAAGCCUUGGGGCUAAUACCCUCGAGGAAGGACAUCACCCACAGAAGAAGCACCGGCUAACUCCGUGCCAGCAGCCGCGGUAAUACGGAGGGUGCGCGCGUUAAUCGGAAUUACUGGGCGUAAAGCGCGCGUAGGCGGUCUGAUAAGCCGGUUGUGAAAGCCCCGGGCUCAACCUGGGAACGGCAUCCGGAACUGUCAGGCUAGAGUGCAGGAGAGGAAGGUAGAAUUCCCGGUGUAGCGGUGAAAUGCGUAGAGAUCGGGAGGAAUACCAGUGGCGAAGGCGGCCUUCUGGACUGACACUGACGCUGAGGUGCGAAAGCGUGGGUAGCAAACAGGAUUAGAUACCCUGGUAGUC
rnacentral:rRNA from 1 species